CCGCAUUUGGUAAAGAUUAGCUUCACUGAUGUCUACUCUUCAUAUUCCCAUUCUCAUUCUCCUUUAGGGACUAAUGGAGCAUGAAUGGGAUUUGGAUAAAACCAAAAAAUGUGAGCUAUAUUCCUUCUUUUCUGAAACAUUUUUUUCUCAAUUUUCAAUCAAAUCGAAUUCAACUAUUUUUGUUUAAUUUAUAGAAAAUUAAUGAACUAUAGAUUAUACAAUAUGGGUAGCCAUCUUUUAUUACUAUUAAUGAAUGAUGAAUUAGCUGACUGGAAUUAGAAAUCUCUUGGAUUGUUAGGGAUAAAAGUACCCAUGAAGUUGAUGGGUGUUUAAGACAGCUCCUUGCUUUCAGGCUCAAGCUUCCGCUUCACUCAUAGAACCUCAUUCCAGGAACCUCCUAUUUAUUUUAUGCCAUGCGAUUUAUAAAAUCUACGAACCUCUUAGAGCCCUACCUCCUGUCAAGUUUCCUACAAGGAUCCUGUUCGUCUAGCUCUAUGGCCAGCCAACGCUUCACUUGGUCAUCAAAAACGCCUCCCUUUCUCCCCAGUCAGAGUUGUCAUUUCAUUAUUGUGUCUGGAGACUUUCAGUUACUUCGUGCAUGGCUUCCAAGUAGCAUCCUGAAGAGGAAGAACCUUCCCUAUGUGAGAAUGACCUAACCCUCAUGAACCAACUCUCACAACCUAUAACUUUCAUGGUCCGAUCUCUCUGAAACUCUUUUACACAUUCCACACUAUCAGUCUUCAUGUUCUUUACCCAGAAGAACAUUUCUCUAGUUAUUAAUAGCUCUCUUAUAUAUAUAAUUGACUUCAGUGUUGGACUGUCUUCUUUUUGUUUUGCAGGUCCUCUCUGCCUCUCUUUGUCUUGCCCUUUUACCCAUCAUACUCCCGAAGCUAUUCAGAAACUUCAAGACUAGCUACCGACCUGGGAAAAUGAGAUCCUGAUUCUUGAGAUACCAUCACAGGUCAUUUUCUGACUGGCAAAUUCAACCAUUAAAUUAGGAGAAUGAACACUUAACUCUAUUGCUUCUCCAUUGAGUUUCUGAAAUAAUAAAUAAACAAAUAGUAAUGAUGCCAAAUAAGCCAAGACAAUUUCCACUCUCUCAGUUGAGCUUAGGCUUUUUAGUACUGGAAUCUUUUAGAUGCUCAAAUGCUAGCUUCUUCUCUAGAUUGGGGAAGGUUUCAAUGAAUUUCUUGGUAAUCUUAACCCAAGUGGAAUUAUUCCCUUGGAGUUAAUCUAAUUCCAUAACUAAGAGAAAAAGUACAUAUAAGAAAGAAUUACAAGUCUAUACACUUAUGGAUUUGCAAUCAACUUAAUUGGGCUAUAUAUGCACAUAUAUAUUACAUAAUUAUACAUGCAUGUAACUAAUUAAACAAGUAACACUUACAAUAGAAAGUAAAAACCAAAAGAGAAGAGAGAGUUCUGCAUUAAGAUAAGGUGCAAUUACAAGUAAAAUUCUACCAAUAUUACACCCAUCUCAAACAAAAACCCCAGAUUACACAAUCCUUAAUUAUUUCAUAAUCAUUCAGACCUCAUCCUGUUGAUUUGGUUCAAAGCCGGUUGUAGAAUAUUGUAAAGUACCCAAAGAAUAGCAGGAGCUACAACAAAUAACAAAAGCUGACCCCUAUUGUCACUCGCUGCAUCAGCAAUCAUAGCAAUGUUCUCACUUGCUGAUGCUUCAGGUGCUGCUGCCAUGAACCCUGUUGCAGCCAGACCACCUAAUCCAAGCCCAAUAAUCACACCCUUUGUUUCUCUCAUUCUGUUGAUUUGGUUAAGUGCUGGUCGAAGAAUGUUGAAUAGCACCC
rnacentral:lncRNA from 1 species